GUUUAACUCUGCCGGGAUGCGCCGACCUGUGCUCGGCGUUGAGUGGCUACAGCAGCAGUCACUCCGAACGCUUUUGUUCCUAGAGGGCCCGCCUACUCUAGCAAGACUGGUUGAGACGGCGGAACGCAGCGCGCCUUUCCCGGGAACCCAGUGCCAGGAAGCACCAGCCAGGACCCCAGGAAUCAUUUACUGGCAUACCCAAUGGAGGCUGCUAUUGCAAAACUUUAUGUCCUUCAUACCACUAGCAAAUUCCUGCCACCAAACUGCUCAGGGAACUAUGGACUUGGUGUAGGAGUGUCUUCAUUUUCAUGCCUUCAAUUUUUCCCUGCAGGCUCUCAUUAUGCGGCCCAGGCUGCCUUUGAACUCCUAGGCUCAAGUGAUCCUUCUCAUGAAUAAUUCAGGUUGAGCACAUCAAAAUCUGAUACACACAGAUACCACAUAAUAAAUAUCUCUGGAAUGAAUGAGGGAAAGAUGUGAGGAAAUGUUUACAGUCUCAGCUGUGGUCUGGACAAUAUUAAUAGUGAUCCUAUAUAAUUGCUUACCAUACAAAACCCUGUGAAGUAGCUAGGCAUGAUGGAGCACGCCUAUAAUCCCAGCGGCUCGGGAGGCUAAAGCAGGAAGAUCACAGAU